GUCGCUUCGGCAGCACAUAUGCUAAAGUAGGAACAAUAUAGAGAAGAUUAGCAUGACCCCUGCGCAAGGAUGACAUGCAAAUUUGUGAAGCAUUCCGUGUUUUU
rfam:Cuculus canorus isolate BGI_N303 unplaced genomic scaffold scaffold8, whole genome shotgun sequence.